rnacentral:rRNA from 1 species
AGAGUUUGAUCCUGGCUCAGAAUCAACGCUGGCGGCGUGCCUAACACAUGCAAGUCGAACGCGACUGGGGCUUCGGCCUCAGUUGAGUGGCGAACGGGUGAGUAACACGUGGGUGACCUACCUUCGAGUGGGGGAUAACAUCCCGAAAGGGAUGCUAAUACCGCAUAACAUCCUGCCUUUGAACAGGCGGAGAUCAAAGCCGGGGAUCGCAAGACCUGGCGCUUGUUGAGGGGCCCGCGUCCGAUUAGCUAGUUGGUGAGGUAAUGGCUCACCAAGGCAACGAUCGGUAGCCGGCCUGAGAGGGCGGACGGCCACACUGGGACUGAGACACGGCCCAGACUCCUACGGGAGGCAGCAGUGGGGAAUUGUUCGCAAUGGGCGCAAGCCUGACGACGCAACGCCGCGUGGAGGAUGAAGGUCUUCGGAUUGUAAACUCCUGUUGCCCGGGACGAAUGACUCCGACCUAACACGUCGGAGUAUGACGGUACCGGGUGAGGAAGCCCCGGCUAACUCUGUGCCAGCCGCCGCGGUAAUAC